rnacentral:rRNA from 1 species
AGUGAACGCUGGCGGUAGGCCUAACACAUGCAAGUCGAACGGCAGCACAGUAAGAGCUUGCUCUUACGGGUGGCGAGUGGCGGACGGUUGAGGAAUACAUCGGAAUCUACUUUUUCGUGGGGGUUAACGUAGGGAAACUUACUCUAAUACCGCAUACGACCUACGGGUGAAAGCAGUGGAUCUUCGGACCUUGCGCGAUUGAAUUAGCCGAUGUCGGAUUAGCUAGUUGGCGGGGUAAAGGCCCACCAAGGCGACGAUCCGUAGCUGGUCUGAGAGGAUGAUCAGCCACACUGGAACUGAGACACGGUCCAGACUCCUACGGGAGGCAGCAGUGGGGAAUAUUGGACAAUGGGCGCAAGCCUGAUCCAGCCAUACCGCGUGGGUGAAGAAGGCCUUCGGGUUGUAAAGCCCUUUUGUUGGGAAAGAAAAGCAGCAGGUUAAUACCACGCUGUUCUGACGGUACCCAAAGAAUAAGCACCGGCUAACUUCGUG